AUCCAGGUCCGUGAAUACUACGCAGACGACCAAAUCCAGACACGCCGGCCACUAGGUGGCGCUAUACCAAGGAAAGACGCGUUUGGGGCUAUAACUCCCACACCGAACCUCCCACAGUCAAAAACUUGUACCCACUUAUUCACUGGAGUCUGCUGCAUCUUUUGGCAUAGGCCACGCCCAUUUGCGUCUAGAAUUUUUUUUCGCAAAAUCGCGAAAACCGCAAAAGUGUUUUUUCCAUACUCCUCCCACAUUUCUCGACCAAUCAACACCAAACUUUGCACACGACAUCUUCAGACGCACACGAAAAGAAAAACUCAAACACUUUUUCGAUUACGAAACGGUAGCAUUUUGAAUAUUUGUUUAUUAGCUACGUUUUACGUUGAAAAUCAAAAAUCCAGAAAAAUACCAAAAUUAGAUAUCGGAUCAAGUCCAAAUUUUACACACAUGUCGGUGUUACCCUUAGUGACGUUCGAUAAAAAAAACGCAACAUUUCGCCAUUAGGGGGCGCCAUAAACGAGGAAAUUGUAUAUCUUCUACAAAAUUUCGCCGCGAAAACGCUGCACUGACUUCUCGCUACUCCUACCACAGUCAAAUUCUUUGUAUCCACAGGUUCAGGGUAGCGUUUUGAACACAUGCUUCGCGUCGUGCCGGCGAAACGCACAUUUCUUGUCGCGUUGUGCCGGCGAAAUGCACACUUCUUGGACCCCUGCAUAACUGCUUGCAGUUCUAGUUUUUAUACUUCCCGCCAUAGAAGUGGUACCACAGCCCAAACCGUAAAUGGUGCACACGCGCCAAUUGCAUCACUAGAUCCAGGUACGGCACCGCUACUCAGAUAACCAAAUCCAGACACGCCGGCCACUAGGUGGCGCUAUACCAAGGACAGACGCGUUUGGGGCUAUAACUCCCGCACCGAAUCUCCCACAUUCAAAAAACUUGUACGCACUUAUUCACUGGAGUCUGCUGCAUCUUUUGGCAUAGGCCACGCCCAUUUGCGUCUGUAAUUUUUUUUUGCAAAAUCGCGAAAACCGCAAAACUGUAUUUUCGCUACUCCUCCCACAAUUCUUGACCAAUUGACACAAAACUUUGCACACGGCAUCUUCAGACCUACACGAAAAGAAUUCCUGCAUUACUUUUUUGAUCCGUCCUUCGAUAACGAAACGGUAGCGUUUUGAAUAUUGGUUUAUUAGCUAAAUUAGACGUGGAAUAUCGAAAAUCCAAAGAAAUCCAAAAUUAGACAUCGGAUCGAGUCCACAUUUUACACACAUGUUGGUGCUAACCUUAAUGUCGUUCGAUAAAAAUUUCGGAAAAUUUCGCCAUUAGGGGGCGCAAUAAACGAGGAAAUUGUAUAUCUUCUACAAAAUUUCGCCGCGAAAACGCUACACUGACUUCUCGCUACUCCUACCACAGUCAAAUCCUUUGUAUCCACAGGUUCAGGGUAGCGUUUUGAACACAUGCUUCGCGUUGUGCCGGCGAAACGCACAUUUCUUGUCGCGUUGUGCCGGCGAAAUGCACACUUCUUGGACCCCUGCAUAACUGCUUGCAGUUCUAGUUAUUAUUCCAGCACCUAAAAGUGUGCCCACAGCCCAAACCGUAAAUGGUGCCGACACGCCAAUUGCAUGACUAGAUCCAGGUCCCUGAGUUCUAGGCAGACGACAAAAUCCAGACACGCCGGCCACUAGGUGGCGCUAUACCAAGGAAAGACGCGUUUGGGGCUAUAACUCCCACACCGAACCUCCCACAGUCAAAAACUUGUACACACAGAUGAACUGGAGUCUGCUGCAUCUUUUGGCAUAGGCCACGCCCAUUUGCGUCUGGAAUUUUUUUUCGCAAAAUUGCGAAAACCGCAAAAAUGUUUUUUCGCUACUCCUCCCACAUUUCCCGCCCGAUCAACACCAAACUUUGCACAAAGCAUCUUCAGACCUACACAAAAAUAAUUCCUGCAUUACUUUUUUGAUCCGACCUUCGACGACGAAACGGUAGCGUUUUGAAUAUUGGUUUAUGAGCUAAAUUAGACGUGGAAAAUCCAAAAUCCAAAAAAAAUCAAAAUUACACAUCGGAUCGACUCCAAGUUUUACACACAUAUUGGUGCUAAUCUUAAUGUCGUACGAUAAAAAUUUCGGAAAAUUUCGCCAUUAGGGGGCCCCAUAAACGAGGAAAUUGUAUAUCUCCUACAAAAUUUCGCCGCAAAAACGCUACACUGACUUCUCGCUACUCCUACCACAGUCAAAUCAUUUGUAUCCACAGGUUCAGGGUAGCGUUUUGAACACAUGCUUCGCGUUGUGCCGGCGAAACGCACAUUUGUUGUCGCGUUGUGCCGGCGAAAUGCACACUUCUUGGACCCCUGCAUAACUGCUUGCAGUUCUAGUUAGGGGUCCAAGCCAACAGGUUGGAUCCCUAUUGUUUUUGUAAGGAUUCUUUUUCUUUUUUUAUUAUUCCCCCCUAGAAAGUGGGUCCACAGCCCAAACCGCAAAUGGUGGCGACACGCCAAUUGCAUGACUAGAUCCAGGUCCGGCACCGCUAUUCAGAUAACCAAAAGCAAAAUCGCGAACACCGCAAAAAUGUAUUUUCGCUACUCCUCCCACAUUUCUUGACCAAUUGACACAAAACUUCACAAGGCAUCUUCAGACCUACACGAAAAGAAAUCCUGCAUUACUUUUUUGAUCCGACCUUCGACGACGAAAUGGUAGCGUUUUGAAUAUUGGUUUAUUAGCUAAAUUAGACGUGGAAUAUCAAAAAUCCAAAGAAAUCCAAAAUUAGACAUCGGAUCGAGUCCAAAUUGUACACCCAUGUUGGUGUUAACCUUAAUGUUGUUCGGUAAAAAAAUCGGAAAAUUUCGCCAUUAGAGGGCGCAAUAAACGAGGAAAUUGUACAUCUUCUACAAAAUUUCGCCACGAAAACGCUACACUGACUUCUCGCUACUCCUACCACAGUCAAAUCCUUUGUAUCCACAGGUUCAGGGUAGCGUUUUGAACACAUGCUUCGCGUUGUGCCGGCGAAACGCACAUUUCUUGUCGCGUUGUGCCGGCGAAAUGCACACUUCUUGGACCCCUGCAUAGCAGUUCUAGUUUUUAAUUGAUUUCAUACUCUAUUUAACUGCCUUUUAAAACCUUUGUGAAAUAACUAAUAAAUGUG
ensembl:lncRNA